rnacentral:lncRNA from 1 species
CCUGCGGGGAGGGGGCUUAGCGGGGCUGCGCGGGGCUUGCUGCUCCCCCCUGCUCCGGCUGGGGGCUCCCCCCCGCCGGUACCGACCUGCUCCAUCCCCCCCCCCCGGCACGGUGCCAAGGGGGGUUCCGUCUCUGGGGGGUCGGUGGGUGCCUCCCCCAUUGCCCCGCGGGCUCCAUCUCCUGGGGUCUGGAGGGUGCAUCCCACAACUUUGGGACUGGGGAGGUCGGGGGGGGCUUCCCCCGUGACCCACGCCCGGGGGGGUGCAUUCCCCAUGGACCACGAGGACCCCGUGCCCCGGGGCCAGUGGGGUGUAUCCUCGUGUAGGUCAAUGGGCACAGCCCCACAGGUGCUGUUAGGGUCCAUCCCCCCAGGGUUGGGGUGGUUUCAUCCCUGCAGGGCUCGGUGGGGUGCAUCACCUGGGCUGGGGGUGCUUGUGGGGUCCCCCUUGCCCUGCCUUUGCUUUGCUGCCCCCCGUGCACCCACGUGGAGGGUGAGGAUCUCCGUCGCCUGCCGUGAUGUGCUGAGGAUUAGGUCCUGUGUGUGUGACUGUCUCGCAGUGCAGCCUGGCUCUGGGCUAUGGAAAGUAGUUCUCUGUGUCAUUAAAUACUCCUGUCCGCACAAAGCAGGCUGUGGUGUGCGCGGUGUUGCGAGCCUCGGAGCGGCAGUGGAUGAGGUGCAACCACUCAACCCUAUCAAGAAGGACACAGGACAAUGGAUUUCUGUAUUACCUCCCUGCUGCCUUGCAGGCGAAGAGGGAAGAAACCAGAGGUGACAGACAUGCAAGUAUUGCUACACAGCCUUUGAGUGAUGACAACAAAGGUGGCAAGAGUGUUGUCAGAGAUUGCAUGGACAAAGCUUGGAGGGUUGCAGCUGAAGCCAAACCAAUUGCUGGUUGAUGCCCAAAGCAUGAGCUAAUAUGUUUUUAUCCCUUUCCAUUCUUUUUGUUUAUUGAUAAAGUGGUGUAAUUCCCAGAUGUUAAUAUUUUAUACAACUAUUUUUCUAUUAUUUUAUCUCCUCCCCAGAAGAUUAGCCAUGUGGGCAUUAGCAAUCCUGAGUAUGCUCCUCUGAUAGGGAAGGGAGUCACACCCAAAGCAAAAUCUGGCUGAUGAGGAAGCAGGGUUUCCAAGGGGCAGGUCCAAAACGAUAAAAACUUUCUUCCUCCUGUGUUAGAGGAAGAGACGCUGAAAUACUCAAAAACGUGACAGGAUAGAAGGAGAAAUGUAGUACCUUAACUUGACAUUACAGAUACAUUUUGGAAAUUCUAACGCCCAAAGGGAUUAACCGAAGUUGUAUUUUAAUGAAUAGAAGAUUAUCAAGUAUGUGUUUAACUUCAUUUUGUGCCUUAAGUUGCAUGUGAGGAGGCUUUUUUCUCCUUGCAGAGUAAUCUUUAUGA